rnacentral:rRNA from 1 species
UACGUAGGGUGCAAGCGUUGUCCGGAAUUAUUGGGCGUAAAGAGCUCGUAGGCGGUUCGUCGCGUCGGCUGUGAAAACCCGGAGCUCAACUCCGGGCCUGCAGUCGAUACGGGCGGACUUGAGUGUUGCAGGGGAGACUGGAAUUCCUGGUGUAGCGGUGAAAUGCGCAGAUAUCAGGAGGAACACCGGUGGCGAAGGCGGGUCUCUGGGCCGAUACUGACGCUGAGGCGCGAAAGCGUGGGGAGCAAACAGG